GGAAAAAUUCCAAUAUGGACGCCAUCAAGCUUUUUUUCUUCAACGACGACGUGAGAAUUUUUGCGGCCGCGUGCAAUGUGGUCAGUAGAAUCAGUGUUUGCUUCGUAAGUUUUUUUAAUCUAUCGUCAAUGAAUACGUGAAAUUAGAGUCAGUGUUUGUUCGUUAAUUAUAAUUUAAAUUAUAUUGCAUUUAUUUAUAAAAUAUAUGUUUCGGGUAUAUAUUCGAGUCAGUGUUUCUCUUAAAAAGAGAAAGCAAUCAUUUGAAAAGUUUUAUGAUUUCCUGUUACAUGAUGAUAAUCUUCUUAAUAAUUUCUGGACUACGACAACAAUGAAAGCGUUCGUCGCAUCAUAUGGUGAGUCGCAUGCUUUUUGAUUCCUCCGAUUACUCAACCAUGUCGUAGGAUGAAAGAUCCGAAUCGACACGAGUGAUUGGUUGUAUACGUAGAAUUUUACACGAGCAUAGUGACCAUGGAUAUUUAUUAUAUUCGUGGGUAGUAACAUUUUCUUUGUACAUGUUUUAUUUAUUAGAUUAGGCUAGGUCUUCUUGUGC
rnacentral:lncRNA from 1 species